UGUUAUAAACCGAUUUAAAAUAAACUCUUAAGAUAGACAAGUACAUGGGUUUUCACCAUUCCCAGCUUGGUUCCUUUCGAUUGGUUUGUGAGAAUUGCUAAGUGUCUGAGUUUUGUUUGUUCUUUAUGCAGUUGCUUCUUACUGUUAAGCAAUGUCAUUAGAAGGAUAUAUAUCAUGGUUCUGUGUUUCCUCAUGCUUUUUACAACAUUAUACGGCGAUGAGGAGUCUGGAUCAUUCUAGUUUUUUUACAGAAUCAGAUCAUGUGAAGUCCAAUAUGAGGAUGUUGAUUUCUGGUGGAGCUGGCUUCAUCGGUUCUCACUUGGUUGAUAAGCUCAUGGAAAAUAAGAAGAAUGAGCUGCGGGGUGAGUUUUGUUGUUGAGGUUGUCUCGGAACAGUUUGAAGAGAAGAGAUUGCUUGAAAGGCACCGCAAUAUAAACGCUGCCCUUGAAGAAGAGAUGAAAGAAAUCCAUGCCCUCUCUAUAAAGAAGGCUCAAACUCCACAACAAUGGAAGCCAAUAUCACAACACUCUGAAACAACUCCAACCACAGAGGCUUGAAGAGAAAAGAACAAGAGAAUAAUUGUUCCAACAAUAAGGAUUCAAAAGCAAAUUGUUGCUUCAUUUUUGUUUCUCAUUUAAUUUAAGUUAUAUUGGUAUACUAUAGACACUCAUAAUUGAGGAUGACUAAUGGGAGGAGAAAAAAUAAAAAGAAGUUAGUGAA